GUAUGAUUGUAGCUAGCGAGUUUACUAAUGCAUUAGUUCUAGUAGCUAUAUUAACUAUGACGUGACAACGAUGUAGGCUGUGUGCAGUUAGCGGUCAUGAUGUAAAUGUUUGGUAUAGAAAGUUAUUUUUUUGCCUGGUCACAUACUGAUGUGUAGUGCACUGAAGUCCACAAGCAAAAAGAGAAGGUGAGAACGUGAGAGGAUGAGAGCACGUAGAUAGUUGCGAGAAGGAAUUAUAUAUACAACAAGCAAAGUGUUCACGCUGCUAUGAAAAGCAAACUGUGUUUGCUUGUGAUCAGGGGUGUAUUCAUUCCACCGAUUAAUGGUAAAAUGUUUCAGAAACGUAAGCAAACGGAAUGAAACAGAGAUAAAAAUACCUGAAUUUGUCCAACAGAAAUUCAAAUUUGCAAGUGUUGGACUACUGAUUACUCCCUAGAUCAGCUAGAUGCAGGAAUGCAGUAGCCUUCCAACUGAGAUGUAGCAUUCCACAUGUACUGAAAACUAGGACAACAUGGUCUUGCUGUCUCCGCCCUUGCUGUCUCUGCCUGGCCGGUUCCCCUCUCUCGCCUGGGAUUCUCUGUCUCCAACCCUAUUACAGGUGCUGAGUCACUGGCUUACUGGUGCUCUUCCAUGCCGUCCCUGGGAGGGGUGCGUCACUUGAGUGGGUUGAGUCAUUGACGUGAUCUUCCUGUCUGGGUUGGCGCCCCCCCUUGGAUUGUGCCGUGGCGGAGGUCUUUGUGGGCUAUACUCGGCCAUGUCUCAGGAUGGACCUGAGCCCUAGGACCAUGCCUCAGGACUCAGGACUGAUGCUGCUCCAGUUUCAACUGUUCUGCCGGCGGCUAUGGAAUCUUGACCUGUUCACCGGACGUGCUACCUGUCCCAGACCUGCUGUUCAACUCUCUAGAGACAGCAGGAGCAGUAGAGAUACUCUGAAUGAUUGGCUAUGAAAAGCCAACUGACAUUUACUCCUGAGGUGCUGACCUGUUGCACCCUCGACAUCCACUGUGAUUAUUAUUAUUUGACCCUGCUGGUCACCUAUGAACAUUUGAACAUCUUGGCCAUGUUCUGUUAUAAUCUCCACCCUGCACAGCCAGAAGAGGACUGGCCACCCCUCAUAGCCUGGUUCUUCUCUAGGUAUCUUCCUAGGUUCUGGCCUUUCUAGGGAGUUUUUCCUAGCCACCGUGCUUCUACACCUGCAUUGCUUGCUGUUUGGGGUUUUAGGCUGGGUUUCUGUACAGCACUUUGAGAUAUCAACUGAUGUAAGAAGGGGUUUAUAAAUACAUUUGUUUUGAUUUGGCUGCAAAUGGAUGACCACACCUUCAGGAGACAUCUGUUACCCACGCCCAGUUUGACAACCUUACCAUCCAACUGAAGCAGCAGGAGCUCGAUGACGCACAUCAGCCUGAAGGUUGCCCUAAAGUUCCUCUGAUCAAAAAAGUCCUGGGGGCUCAUUUAUGAAUCAUGCAUAGGCACAAAUCUGUGCAUAAACCAUGCAUGGGGUUAUUUUCACUCGAAGUGUGAGUGUGCAUACAUUUACGCACAACUAUGACAAUGCAUACGCACAGUGCCAAGUAGUGGAAUAAGGGAACUGCUUGUCAAGCGUAGAAUGGUGACAAUACUGUAUCUGUUGAAAAUCUCUGAAAUUGUAAGAGUAAUGAAAUAUAUAUAUAUUUUUUCUAUUGUGAAUUCAUGCAACAUAACUUCACAGGCUAUAUCAUAUAAUUUGACCACAGUGAGUGCAUUUGUUAUGUUAAAUCCAUACAAAGUACAGUCAUUUGUUGAAUUUGAGGCACGUGUGAAAGUGACAAACCAUUGAUGAAAUACUAUAAAAAUGUGAUAAUGGGAAAUGGAAUGAGAGAUGGCUGAUCUUCCUCUGGUGGAAGAUUUGGCACACGCUGCAGAGAGCAGGGUUUUGGAGACAGGUGGGACUUUUUUGCAUAAAGUACAGAUUGGUUUUGGGAAACAGGAUUUAAGACCAGCUUUAGAAAAGUAAAUGCGUGCUUUUCCAGUGCACUUCCAAGUGCUAUCCAUCCUCGGGUUUUUGGCAAUGGGCACUUUUCAGCAGGAGCUUGCCCAUCGGCAUCUCACAGCCCUCAAUGAGGCAAUGUUUUGCAUGCAAUCAUCAGCAAAACGAACAGUAUCAUACAAUUUCCAUACACCAUUAUACAACAGGUUGAAGUCGAGGGGUUUCUUUGCCAUCAAUGGGUUCCUAAAACAUUAAUGGAGCAGUGGCGACCUGUCAUUCAGUGCAGGUGGGGAAGAGCCCCACCUGUUUCGCAAAAAAAUAUAUUACAAUCAUUUUUUGUUGUUGCCUGUUUCACAUGUUAUUUUGGCAUUAAUACGUGUCACAUAUCAGUUUGCAAACAAUCCCAAAAAUAUUUUAUUAAGUUAAUAAAGCCGCCUAC
rnacentral:lncRNA from 1 species